UACGUAGGUGGCAAGCGUUGUCCGGAAUUAUUGGGCGUAAAGCGCGCGCAGGUGGUUCUUUAAGUCUGAUGUGAAAGCCCACGGCUCAACCGUGGAGGGUCAUUGGAAACUGGGGAACUUGAGUGCAGAAGAGGAAAGUGGAAUUCCAAGUGUAGCGGCGAAAUGCGUAGAGAUUUGGAGGAACACCAGUGGCGAAGGCGACUUUCUGGUCUGUAACUGACACUGGGGCGCGAAAGCGUGGGGAGCAAACAGG
rnacentral:rRNA from 1 species